rnacentral:rRNA from 1 species
GAUCCUGGCUCAGGACGAACGCUGGCGGCGCGCUUAACACAUGCAAGUCGAGCGAUGAAACCUUAACAGAACCCUUCGGGGCGAAGAUAAGAUGGAUUAGCGGCGGACGGGUGAGUAACACGUGAGUAACCUGCCUUAGACAUUGGGAUAGCCUCGGGAAACCGGGAUUAAUACCAAAUGAAAUCACAUAUGCACAUGCAUAAAUGAUCAAAGCUCCGGCGGUCUAAGAUGGACUCGCG